ACCUGGGUGGCUCAGUCGGUUAAGCAUCUGACUUCAGCUCAGGUCAUGAUCUCACAGUUCAUGGGUUCGAGCCCCGUGUCGGGCU
rnacentral:tRNA from 1 species